rnacentral:lncRNA from 12 species
CCUGGGUGCUGAGUCAUGGGAAACUCUAGAGAGAUCCCAGAGAAAGAGCUGGGUAGCCAGGGGUGGUAUGGAAACAACAGCUAAUUACUGAUCUAUUAUAAAAUUACAUGGAAUUUUUAAUCAGAUUGGUUCUGUUGGCCCUUCCUAAUGUCCCUAAUGUCAAUGUAAUAACAGGCUAAGAAAUCCCCAAUUUUUCCCAUUACUCAUUAUUUUGUCAGUCCGCUUGACUCACUUACAUCGGAAAUUGUAUUACUCCUUGCCUCAGACAAAAAACUUAAUUGUUAUCUUAAUUAUCUUAAGAAAGAGGAAAUCUCCUGACAAACAAUUUUAAUAGCAAUCUAUUGGUUACUGACAAACUGAUUAUGCUUCAAGAGGCACCACCCUCCAUCUUUGUGGACAGGAGCCGAGCCUGCUCUGCAAGAAACCUUGGUGCUGUCCAGGCUUGCAAAACACAAGUUCAUAAUAGCAUCACACCAGUGCAGAGGGAAGAGGAGUGGAGCAGCCUGCAGGUGUGCUUCAGGGAUACGAUGACUGAAUAGGAGGAGACCUCAUCUGGCCUGGCUCAAUGCCCUUCAGUAUCCAACCUGGUCUUGAGCAGUGCUUCACAAAUAUGAGUACUUCAUUCCUGAGGAGAUCAUGGAUCAGUGCAGACUGUCUGGAAGACAUUGUGUUUCCUUCCUUGGCAUUAGAAAUAGACUUCAAUGGCAAGAUUCAGGGGCAGUUACAGGAGGCAAAAAUUCUCUUUUUUGCCUAAGAUGAACAAAUCUGUCACCUGCUGCCAAAAGAAUCUUGAGUACGAAGGUGGGUUGCAAGCUUCAGAAAGGGCUCUGAGUUCCUUCCCAAAGGAAGCUCCAACGUCAGCCCUGGUCAGGAGUCAGGUACCCUCUAAUCAACACCAAGCCAAUGAGAAUGGCCCUUCAUUAUCAUCAUCUGGAAAAGCAGCAAUAACAAAUUGACAAACAGUGUAUAUUCUCAUUCAUUUGGGGAAUAUAAAUAAUAGUGAAAGGGAAUAUAAGGGAAGGGAGAAGAAAUGUGUGGGAAAUAUCAGAAAGGGAGACAGAACGUAAAGACUGCUAACUCUGGGAAACGAACUAGGGGUGGUAGAAGGGGAGGAGGGCGGGGGGUGGGAGUGAAUGGGUGACGGGCACUGGGCGUUAUUCUGUAUGUUAGUAAAUUGAACACCAAUAAAAAAUAAAUUUAAAAAAAAAACA